UGCAGUCGAACGGUAGCAGGAAGUGCUUGCACUUUGCUGACGAGUGGCGGACGGGUGAGUAAUACUUAGGAACAUGCCUUUGUGUGGGGGAUAACCAUUGGAAACGAUGGCUAAUACCGCAUAAUGUCUUUGGACCAAAGAGGGCUUUCGGGCUCUCGCGCAAAGAGUGGCCUAAGUGAGAUUAGCUUGUUGGUGAGGUAAAGGCUCACCAAGGCGACGAUCUCUAGCUGUUCUGAGAGGAAGAUCAGCCACACUGGGACUGAGACACGGCCCAGACUCCUACGGGAGGCAGCAGUGGGGAAUAUUGCACAAUGGGGGCAACCCUGAUGCAGCCAUGCCGCGUGUGUGAAGAAGGCCUUCGGGUUGUAAAGCACUUUCAGUUGUGAGGAAAGGUUGGUGGUUAAUACCCAUCAGCUGUGACGUUAGCAACAGAAGAAGCACCGGCUAACUCCGUGCCAGCAGCCGCGGUAAUACGGAGGGUGCGAGCGUUAAUCGGAAUUACUGGGCGUAAAGCGCACGCAGGCGGUUUGUUAAGCUAGAUGUGAAAGCCCCGGGCUCAACCUGGGACGGUCAUUUAGAACUGGCAGACUAGAGUCUUGGAGAGGGGAGUGGAAUUCCAGGUGUAGCG
rnacentral:rRNA from 1 species